CCUACGGGUGGCUGCAGUAAGGAAUAUUGGUCAAUGGUGGGAACACUGAACCAGCCAUCCCGCGUGCAGGACGAAGGCCCUCUGGGUUGUAAACUGCUUUUACCAGGAAAGAAACGAGUGGACUUGUCCGCUCCUGACGGUACCUGGGGAAUAAGCACCGGCUAACUCCGUGCCAGCAGCCGCGGUAAUACGGAGGGUGCAAGCGUUAUCCGGAAUCACUGGGUUUAAAGGGUGCGUAGGCGGCUUGGUAAGUCAGGGGUGAAAGCUUCCCGCUC
rnacentral:rRNA from 1 species